rfam:Pseudomonas caspiana strain FBF102 scaffold00017, whole genome shotgun sequence.
UCGUAAGUCGUUGCCAGGCAAACGUGCCGGUAGCGGCGAGCUUCGUUCCUCCCGGAUGGAUGUUCGAAGUUUCACCAGAAAAAGGAA